GAGGCUGGAGCCAUCCUUGGAGGAGCUGGAACAUGCAAUGGCAGAGUUGAAUAGCUGCCCAUGUGGCCUGCAAAGACAAACAUAUUUACUAUAUCACCAUUUGCUGAAAAUGUUUGCAGAUGCCUGAGUACCUCAUUCCCUCCACUAAGGAAGUGACGGCAGAACCUCAGAUUUAUCAGCCUCACAGUAAAUCCAGCUCUGCACCAGUGAAUGAUGUGGGAAUAAAGAGAAGCACCUCCAUCCUAGAUAGAUUUUUAGGCCUAAGCAUUUCUGUAGCAAGAGGCAAUGACAGCAGCUACUGGGACAAAAGAUUCAACAGGUUGACUCCCCUGAAGGCAGCCUUUGGUUCCAGGAGCAUGGGGCUCCGAAGAAUUGGAAAGGUGGCGAAAUGUUGGCAGGGAAGAGGGUCAUGACUGGCUUGGCACUUCCAUUAAUUUGAAAAUUGUGCAAGAUGGAUGUCUCAAAUGCUGCACCCUGAGAGAAAGAGCACACCAUCAGAGUUUGAGUAUGAUGACAAGAUUCUUGUGUAUGUCACUCAGGAUACUAAAGACAAGGGAGUGAUACUAUUUCUUUCAUGUGUGGACUCCUCCAUCUCAUUCAGUGUACCAUACACGGCACACAUUGUGGAAGACCCUUCGUGCCCCAGUUAAACUCUUGUUGGGUAUCACUCCCGGUGAAAUUUGAGUGCAUUGAUAGUAGGCUAUGUACAUCCCAGUGAGACUGAAACCAGACCGAUGGUCUGCAUCUCUCGCCUUCUGUCUGACACCUCAGUGUCUCUGCCCUCGUAGUAGCAGUCAUAUCCACACCUGAUGAACCACCCACCACAGGUUCUCUGCGACACAGAGAAGAGGAGUGAUGUGCGUACUUGGUGGGUUGGGAUAAAGAAGUGGGUCUGGGUAGUGUUCUCCCUUCUUCCAUUCCCGUCUGUUAUUAGAGGCAGCAACCCCCCAGAGAGCACAUAUUCUGGCAUGCCCUCCCCACCAUGGUUCCACAGGGCCACACCCCUCCUCGGGAGGCUGGAGGUGGAGGUCUGGUUUGGGAGGUUGACUAGGAGGAAACCCAUUUUUCUGCCUUUCAAUCUAACUUUUAUCAGGCACAAAUUGUAUAUUUUUAUUCCCUUUUGCUUGACUUCUCUAUCCAUCUCUCAAUUGUUUCCAAAUUCAGGUAAGA